rnacentral:rRNA from 1 species
GAAUUUUCCACAAUGGGGGCAACCCUGAUGGAGCAAUGCCGCGUGCAGGACGAAGGCCUUCGGGUCGUAAACUGCUUUUAUAGGGGAUGAUUAUGACAGUACCCUACGAAUAAGGAUCGGCAAACUCCGUGCCAGCAGCCGCGGUCAUACGGAGGAUCCAAGCGUUAUUCGGAAUUACUGGGCGUAAAGAGAUGCGUAGGCGGUCCGGCAAGUUUCUACUGAAAGCUCAAGGCUCAACCUUGAGACUAGUAGAAAAACUGCUGAACUAGAGAAUAUGAGGGGAACCUGGAAUUUCUGGUGUAGGAGUGAAAUCCGUAGAUAUCAGAAGGAACACCAAUGGCGAAGGCAGGGUUCUGGCAUAUUUCUGACGCUGAGGCUCGAAAGCGUGGGUAGCGAACGGG